rnacentral:rRNA from 1 species
GACUCUCGGCAACGGAUAUCUCGGCUCUUGCAUCGAUGAAGAACGUAGCGAAAUGCGAUACUUGGUGUGAAUUGCAGAAUCCCGUGAACCAUCGAGUCUUUGAACGCAAGUUGCGCCAAAGCCAUUAGGCUGAGGGCACGCCUGCCUGGGUGUUA